CCUGGGCAUGGUGGCACAUGCCUGUAAUUCCAACAACUUGGGAGGCUGAGGCAGGAGGAUUACAAGUUUGAGGCCAGCAAUUUAGUGAAGCCCUAAGGAACUUAGUGAGACCCCGUCUCAA
rnacentral:sRNA from 1 species